rnacentral:piRNA from 1 species
UGAAUAUGUGAUAAAAUUUGCGCCUUA